rnacentral:rRNA from 1 species
AACGAACGCUGGCGGCAGGCUUAACACAUGCAAGUCGAGCGCCCCGCAAGGGGAGCGGCAGACGGGUGAGUAACGCGUGGGAAUCUACCGAGCCCUAAGGAAUAGCUCCGGGAAACUGGAAUUAAUACCUUAUACGCCCUUUGGGGGAAAGAUUUAUCGGGGUUUGAUGAGCCCGCGUUGGAUUAGCUAGUUGGUGGGGUAAAGGCCUACCAAGGCGACGAUCCACAGCUGGUCUGAGAGGAUGAUCAGCCACAUUGGGACUGAGACACGGCCCAAACUCCUACGGGAGGCAGCAGUGGGGAAUAUUGGACAAUGGGCGCAAGCCUGAUCCAGCCAUGCCGCGUGAGUGAUGAAGGCCUUAGGGUUGUAAAGCUCUUUCACCGGUGAAGAUAAUGACGGUAACCGGAGAAGAAGCCCCGGCUAACUUCGUGCCAGCCGCCGCGGUAACAC